UAUCAGUUCGAACCAGUUGAGAUGGAGAAUGGCGUCACGCCGCUUCACCCUUCGAGGCAUAGGCCUGAACCACGCGGGCCAGCUUCGCAGCAGGCGCGGUGGAGAGCUGAGCGAUCUUGGUCAGGAUCUUCGCGCGCAGUUCAUCAAGCGACGGCAGCGAGGCAAGCGCCUUCACAGCGUCGGGAUUCAGGACAGUCGUUCCCAUCGCGCCGCCAAGGAUCACGAACUUUUCGUUGGCCUUGGCGAAUUCGACGGCAACUUUCGGUGCUGCAACCGGAUCGUCCGAGGUGGCGAUCACGGUCGGCCCCUUCAACAGGGANNNNNNGCCGAUGGAAACAACAUCCGUGCCUUCAAGAGCAAUUUUGGCGAGACGGUUCUUCGAGACCUUUACCGAGGCGCCAGCCUGCUUCAUCUGCGUCC
rnacentral:misc_RNA from 1 species